GAGCGGCAGACGGGUGAGUAAUACGUUGGAACCUGCCCCAAAGUCAGGGAUAACCAGUAGAAAUAUUGGCUAAUACCGGAUAGUCACGAAAGUGUAAAGCUUUUGCGCUUUGGGAGGGGCCUGCGGUCUAUCAGCUUGUUGGUAAGGUAAUGGCUUACCAAGGCUAUGACGGAUAGCUGGUUUGAGAGAAUGAUCAGCCACAAUGGAACUGAGACACGGUCCAUACUCCUACGGGAGGCAGCAGUGAGGAAUCUUCCGCAAUGGGCGAAAGCCUGACGGAGCAACACCGCGUGAAGGAUGAAGGUCGUAAGAUUGUAAACUUCUUUUCUGAGGGAAGAAUUCUGACGGUACCUCAGGAAUAAGCAUCGGCUAACUACGUGCCAGCAGCCGCGGUAAGACGUAGGAUGCAAGCGUUAUCCGGAAUUAUUGGGCAUAAAGAGUUCGUAGGCGGUUUGUUAAGUUGGAUGUUAAAUUUUUGAGCUCAACUUACAAAAGUAUCCAAAACUGGCAAACUGGAGACUGGUAGAGGUAAGUGGAAUUCUGCAUGUAGGGGUAAUAUCCGUAGAUAUGCAGAGGAACACCAAAAGCGAAGGCAGCUUACUGGACCAGUUCUGACGCUCAAGAACGAAAGCGUGGGUAGCGAACGGGAUUAGAUACCCCGGUAGUCCACGCCCUAAACGAUGAACACUAGGUAUUGGAGGUCUCGACCCCUUCAGUGCCGACGCAAAUGCAAUAAGUGUUCCGCCUGGGUAGUACGAGCGCAAGCUUAAAACUCAAAGGAAUAGACGGGGACCCACACAAGCGGUGGAGCAUCUGGUUUAUUCGACAAUAAGCGAGGAACCUUACCAAGGCUUGACAUCCCGAGAAGAUCGCCGAAAGGUGAUUGUGCCGUUAGGACUCGGUGACAGGUGCUGCAUGGUUGUCGUCAGCUCGUGCCUUGAGGUGCUCGGUUAAGUCCGUGAACGAGCGCAACCCCUUGUCUCAAGUUGCAUAUUUCUUGAGAGACUGCCGGUUUUCAAUCGGAGGAAGUAAGGANACGUCAAAUCAGCAUGGCCCUUAUGUCUUGGGCGACACAGGUGCUACAAUGGCCGGUACAAUGGCAGCGAAGGAGCAAUCUGGAGCAAUCCUCAAAACCGGUCCAAGUUCGAAUUGAAGGCUGCAACUCGCUUCAUGAAGUUGGAAUCGUAGUAACCGCAUAUCAGC
rnacentral:rRNA from 1 species